rnacentral:rRNA from 1 species
GGGGACAAAGUGACAGGUGGUGCAUGGUUGUCGUCAGCUCGUGUCGUGAGAUGUUGGGUUAAGUCCCGCAACGAGCGCAACCCUUAAGCUUAGUUGCCAUCAUUAAGUUGGGCACUCUAAGUUGACUGCCGGUGACAAACCGGAGGAAGGUGGGGAUGACGUCAAAUCAUCAUGCCCCUUAUGAUUUGGGCUACACACGUGCUACAAUGGACAAUACAAAGGGCAGCGAAACCGUGAGGUCAAGCAAAUCCCAUAAAGUUGUUCUCAGUUCGGAUUGUAGUCUGCAACUCGACUACAUGAAGCUGGAAUCGCUAGUAAUCGUAGAUCAUCAUGCUACGGUGAAUACGUUCCCGGGUCUUGUACACACCGCCCGUCACACCACGAGAGUUUGUAACACCCGAAGCCGGUGGAGUAACCUUUUAGGAGCUAGCCGUCGAAGGUGGGACAAAUGAUUGGGGUGAAGUCGUAACAAGGUAGCCGUAUCGGAAGGUGCGGCUGGAUCACCUCCUUU